AUUGAACGCUGGCGGCAGGCCUAACACCUGCAAGUCGAACGAGUGGCGGACGGGUGAGUAAUGUCUGGGAAACUGGCCGAUGGAGGGGGAUAACUACUGGCAACGGGAGCUAAUACCGCAUACCAUCGGAUGUGCCCAGAUGGGAUUAGAUAGUAGGUGGGGAAACGGCUCACCUAGGAGACGAUCCCUAGCUGGUCUGUGCGGAGGACCAGCCACACUGGAACUGAGACACGGGCCAGACUCCUACGGGAGGCAGCAGUGGGGAAUAUUGCACAAUGGGCGCAAGCAUGAUGCAGCCAUGCCGCGUGUAUGAAGAAGGCCUUCGGGUUGUAAAGUACUUUCAGCGAGGAGGCGUUACUCGCAGAAGAAGCACCGGCUAACUCCGUGCCAGCAGGCGCGGUAAUG
rnacentral:rRNA from 1 species